rnacentral:tRNA from 1 species
GCCUUCGUGGUGUAAUGGUCAGCACACUGAGCCGUUAUUUCAGAGGUCCGCGGUUCGAUUCCCGGCGAAGGCG